AAAAGACCAAAUAACAAUAAAAAUAUAUCUUGGAAACGUUUUAAUAUAUAUUAUAUCCUCAAUACUUCAUGGCGAUCAGUAAAUAAUCGUAAAUGGCUUAAAACUAAGUUGUAAACAAAUGUUCUGCCCCCUACCAGAGGAGAAAGUCCGGUCGUCACCACUGAAGACAAUAUAGCCUACCAGAAUACAGCUUACCGCUUGUUAGGCAUUGUUUGCACGUCGUGAAAGAAAUGAACGCACAUAGAGCUGGCUGUGUGCGUGUGUCUGUCUGACAGGAUGUUUCUAAUCUAGAACCGCUGAACGGAUGCUAAUGAAAAUUGAGAUGGGCAUUGUACAAUUGACGCCACCGCAAACUCAUAUUUCUUAAUCUCCUGCAGUUAGUAACACCUGCAAGACCGACGCAGGAGUUUCUUUCAUGUGACAGUAACAAUAGUGACAUUUAACAUACUCCUUGAUAUUACGUACCGCAACAGAUCUUUGACGAAUAAACAACAUAUUACGGUGCUUGUGUGUGUGUCUCAACAAAAGAGAGGCUAGAAACCUUUAUUUGGUUUACGGUUGCAUGGUGAUAACUAAUGAACAGUUGAAUUAAAGGUGCAAAAUUUUGUAUAGAGCUAGAUUAUACAAAUUACAAUAACUUCUACGUUAAAUAUUGUACCUAAAUAUAUAAUUUAAAAAAUUACGGUGAAAGAAGCAGACUCAAGUUUUCACCGUAUGAGAAAAUUAUACAAAAAAGGAAGGAAAAUGUAAUGUUACGAAUCAAUCCUAACAUUUUUAAGCCUGGUGAGAAAAUAUAUUCUACAUGGCUAUGGAAGUAAUGCUUGAAAUCAAAGAGGAUUCUGAGGUAUCUAACACACUGGGAACAUGCUAGUAAUUUGUUACAUAAUUUGUAAUGGAAGUUAACACUGUCACUUUUACAAGUAAAUACUAUGACUUAGUUUUUUAUCAGUGCUUAGUUUCACACCAUUAACUAAACACAAUUCCUCAACAGAGUCUUUAUCACAAUCCAAAGACCUAUUACUUCAACAUUCUUGAUAAAAUAAUACAUCAUAAGACUGUCUGCAAACAAGAAAUAGCUGGAAAUAUGAAUGGAUCAACAAAUAUCUUUAACAAAAUAUGAAGGGUCAAGGAAAAUAAAGUUGUUCUUUGUGGAAUAUCAGACUUCAUAAUAAUCUUAUAUGAACGUGUACCAACAAUAAGAACUGAUGCAUGUCUACUGGUCAAGUAGGUAUGAUAUUAAUUAACUGAGGAAAAUGAUGUGGCACGACAUCAAAACAAUAAUACGCAG